CUCAGAACGAACGUUGGCGGCGUGGAUUAUGCAUGCAAGUCGAACGCGAAAGGUCACCUUCGGGUGAACGAGUAGAGUGGCGAACUGGUGAGUAACAGGUGGGUAAUGUGCCUCUUAGUGUGGGAUAACCUCUGGAAACAGUGGCUAAUACCUCAUGUGGCACGGAUAACGUUGGUUAACCUGUGUUAAAGACUUCGGUCGCUAAGAGAGCAGCCCGCCCCCGAUUAGCUUGCUGGUAGGGUAACGGCCUACCAAGGCUCCGAUCGGUAGGUGGCCUGAGAGGGUGGUCACUCACACUGGGACUGAGAUACGGCCCAGACUCCUACGGGGGGCAGCAGUCUAGAAGCUUCCACAAUGGACGAAAGUCUGAUGGAGCGACGCCGCGUGUGGGAUGACAGCCGUGAGGUUGUAAACCACUGUCAGCAGGGAAGAAUGCCUUGAUGGUGAAUCAGGGAGAGACGGUACCUGCAGAGGAAGCCCCGGCUAACUCCGUGCCAGCAGCCGCGGUAAUACGGAGGGGGCAAACGUUGUUCGGAUUUACUGGGCGUAAAGGGUGUCUAGGCGGUUCGAUUAGUCUGGUGUGAAAUAUCCUCGCUCAACGAGGAAGACGCAUUGGAAACUGUCGAGCUCGAGAGUGGAAGAGGCAGGUGGAAUUCCUGGUGUAGCGGUGGAAUGCGUAGAUAUCAGGAAGAACACUCGUGGCGAAGGCGGCCUGCUGGUCCAUUUCUGACGCUGAAGCACGAAAGCCAGGGGAGCGAACGGGAUUAGAUACCCCGGUAGUCCUGGCCGUAAACGUUGAACACUGGAUGUCGGGGGUAUCGAGCCCCUCGGUGUCGGAGCUAACGCGUNAAGUGUACCGACUGGGGAGUACGACCG
rnacentral:rRNA from 1 species